GGGAGGCUUUGGACCAAGUCGGUACAUGCAUGCGGGGUGGGGCUGGAAAGAUAGAUUGGCCUAUGGGAACUUAGAAGAAGAAAGCGGGGGAGAAAGAUGUUAGUGGAGGGAAGGUGGGGAAACACAUUGGAGAAACAGUACCGAAAGUGGGUUUCUUGAGGCAGGAAGAGCUGUUGAAAUAGAAGAACUCCUCUGUUGCAUUUAGAGCAAAGGGACAUUUGUGAGCUGUGUGGGAAGCCCAUGUGUGUUCAUCCCCUAUUGUCAUGCUUCCAACUUUCAUUUCUUUUUUUUUUCCUCUCCAAUACAUGUGAAAUGAUUGUGGCUUAGAAUGAUACUGUUUUGGUAACCUUAGGGCUAUACUUAAUGUCUGAGUUUAGGGCUUAACCAAACAUAGCUUACCUGGAAACUGUUCUUUAUUUAUCAGCAUUCAGAAUAGAAGCUGAGUCACAGCAGUGACACUGACACAUCUGGUUUCUGUCUCAUACUUCCUUAUUUCCUGGCUGUUGGUGAUCUUCACUUUUGCUUGUUGGGAACUUGAAAUACACCGUCUCAAUAACCAUUCACCCUGCUUACGAAUGAUGCCCUCAGACAGGGCCUUCACUGCUUCUCCUCCCAGACAGCAAUGGCUUUGUUUUAAUGACUGUUUUUCAACAUUGAACUAUAUAGCAUUUACUCAAUUAACUGUCAGCAAAAUAAUGUCACCUGCUUAAUUUCAAACACUGGCAAGUAACUUGGAUUUUCAUCUGUCUGUAAACUGGAUUUCAUUUGUGUUUAAAAGGAAGCCAGGGAAAGAACCCAUAUGUUUUUUGGGAAAGGCCUUUAUUCCUUAUUUUUCUAGCUUAGUAAUCAAUUAUAAUCUAUUCACUCCAUCUCCAUGUCCCAUACCCUGUUCACAGGUGAGGGUGGGGAGUACCACCAUCUUAGAGGUGAAGCUGGAAAAACGUGGUGAGAUGGAUUCAUACUGUACAAGAUGUGAGGAAUAUCCUUUUUAUCACAAGAAAGACUAUGAGAAUCCACCAAUGGAGGAGUGGCUAUUCACAAAGCUGGCAUUUCAUGUGGUGGAACAUGCAAGCUGGAUAGUGAUUUCUUUUCAACAUUCAUACCAACUUUGGAAAAGAAGAAUCACAAAUAACAAAGCCUGAGCUUCCCUGACCCAAACACAAAGGAUAUAGAGAGCAGGGCUUUAUCAGCCCAUCUGGGGAGCAGAGGACAUUAAAAUCCCAUCAUUCAUCCUAGAAGUAGGGAAUCUCACCAAAAAUGUGAAAAACCAACCACCUUCUUAUCAGACCUCUUCAACUGAGAUGAUCCCCAAAGGCGGUAGCCAGCUUGCCCUUUACUUCUACUGCAGAAACUCCUGCAGCGUUGUUGACUCCAUCUGAGAGCAUCAAAUCUCAAGAAGGACUGAGCAAGUUCAAGGUAAGCAGGAUUGAUGAUCUGGGGGAGAAUAUGCCCUUAGAAAGAAACAGUGCCCUGAACUUUCUACAUAUUAUCUCUGCUGAGGUGGUGGGUGAGAACUUGCUUUCACUGGAGAGUCACAGCUGACUAAGAGUCACAGCUGGAUGCAGACGGAGAAUGAGAUUCUGGAAGCACAAAGAAUGAAUUCUCACUCCACUCUGGGUAUGUACCAGUGCAAAACUAUCAGAUGAUAACAGCUGCUGUGGGAAUAAAGACAAGUGGACAUGUGUUGAGCUCCA
rnacentral:lncRNA from 1 species